rnacentral:lncRNA from 1 species
GCUGUUUGUGCAGAAAUUUUCAGCCUCAGAGUGGCAUGAAAAUCUGAAUGGCUGUGCCUGUCAAAUGUUGUUUGUUUUGAUCCCAGCAGAUCCUUCUAGGUUUUCUGCAGUUUAAUUAUCAGCACUCAUGACACCUUUAGGUAAUCUCUGAUUUGGUGUGCUCAACUGGGCUGGAAGACUCUUAGCAGGCUGUUGAAGUCUUUUGGUUGACAAUCUUUUCACCUUUCCUUAUUUAUUCCCUAUGUAAUCACUUAGCAGAGACUGCCCACUCUUCUUAACUUCCUGGGUUUGUUUUGAUUCCAUAAAGGGAGUCGCAAUGUCUCAUACCUUUGUCUUCCCCACAGGGAAGGGCACAUAUUUGGCACUCAAUACAUGUAUAUCGAAUGAAUGAAUUAACAAAUGAAAAUGCCCGAAUUGAGGCAAACUCACCGACCCGGCAAGGAUUCAUCCUUCUAAGGGACGUGGCAGACACGUGAGCAGCUACUGCAAGCUUAGAGACGCUACUAGACAGACAAAAAGGAGAUCCUCCCAAAGAGCUGGAGCUCCUCUGCCCACAGCCUCCCCCAUCGGAUCAGACCUACAGUAGAAGACAGCAAGGAGUAAGCACUUUGGACUACCAGCUACUACAACUCUAGAAAAGUGGAGGCACAGAUAUGUGGGUCCCAGAGCCCUGCGGGAGCUGGAAUGGAUACUUGCUAAAACACGGGACAUGAGAUUCUCUUUCGUUUGGAAGGGUGCCGUCGUGGCCCUUCUUGGGUUCUGGACUGUCUUACAGUGUCU